CAAAUUCCAUCAUGGCAAAUGGAAAGAGGUGUUCCCAUGUGUGUGUGUGCGCGCGUGUACGUUGUCAACCUACUGUGGACUUGCUGCUUGCCCGUGACCAGAGAUCACCACCGACCCCAAUGCAGGCGGGAGGAGGAGGAGCCGUGGUGCGUGGGUACUGGGUUGUGGAGGAGGAGGAGAGAUGCUCUGGGGAAGAGACUGCUGAGGCCUCCAGAGCCUCGGGGACCUGCAGAAGAUGGCUAUGGAGAACUUUAUUUCCCCCAUCUUGUGGACCUAAGGAUUUUGAUAUUGAGUUACGGACUUAGGUUUCGUGGCUUCAGAGGGGCACAGAAGCACCGGCAGCACCGCCUCCUCCACCGCCCGUGGGAUGAGCAGGGCUGUGAGAUGGUGGGACCUGCAGCACCCCGUCCUGUACAUAACCCGUGAGCUGUCUGUAACAGGUUUUUUCACCCCUUGUAAUUUCUUUUAAUUUUGGUUUUUUGUUUUUUUUUUCCUCUCUUUUUCUUUUCUUUUCUUUCUUUUUUUUUUUUUUUUUGCCCCUUCCCCGGUUCGUCAAUUGUGUUGAAAUUGUCGGAGUUUGUAACGGUAACUUUCAGAGGAUAUUGUACUAAAGAGAGAAUUGCACUCAAUAAAAAUUAUGAAAUAA